rnacentral:rRNA from 1 species
GCAAGCCUGAUCCAGCCAUGCCGCGUGCAGGAUGACGGCCCUAUGGGUUGUAAACUGCUUUUGUACAGGAAGAAACACUCCCACGUGUGGGAGCUUGACGGUACUGUAAGAAUAAGGAUCGGCUAACUCCGUGCCAGCAGCCGCGGUAAUACGGAGGAUCCAAGCGUUAUCCGGAWUCAUUGGGUUUAAAGGGUCCGUAGGCGGUUUAAUAAGUCAGUGGUGAAAGCCCNCCGCUCAACGGUGGAACGGCCAUUGAUACUGUUAGACUUGAAUUAUUAGGAAGUAACUAGAAUAUGUAGUGUAGCGGUGAAAUGCUUAGAUAUUACAUGGAAUACCAAUUGCGAAGGCAGGUUACUACUAAUKGAUUGACGCUGAUGGACGAAAGCGUGGGUAGCGAACAGGAUUAGAUACCCUGGUAGUCCACGCCGUAAACGAUGGAUACUAGCUGUUGGGA